UACAGAGGUGGCAAGCGUUGUUCGGAAUUACUGGGCGUAAAGGGCGCGUAGGCGGCCUUCUCAGUCGGACGUGAAAUCCCCGGGCUUAACUCGGGAACUGCGUCCGAUACUGGAAGGCUGGAGUUCGGGAGAGGGAUGUGGAAUUCCAGGUGUAGCGGUGAAAUGCGUAGAUAUCUGGAGGAACACCGGUGGCGAAGGCGGCAUCCUGGACCGAAACUGACGCUGAGGCGCGAAAGCCAGGGGAGCAAACGGG
rnacentral:rRNA from 1 species